rfam:Crassostrea gigas strain 05x7-T-G4-1.051#20 contig8265, whole genome shotgun sequence.
UGUACUCUGACAAGACCUGCCUUGGAAGCAACAUACUGAAACUUCAUGUUUCUCUUGGCUUCUGGGAAAGUCCCCAGACCCUGGGUAGAGAGUACUCUGAGGUAACCCUCUCAUAUUCUGGACCAAUGUCCCAACAAACAGCUGUGACACCAUAGUGGUGGAGCUGGGACUGUUACAGAACAUUGUCAUAGCAUAGUUACGCAGGUACUGCAGUCGGCAGUAACAGAAUGGGGCUUACUAGGCCAGAGUGC